rnacentral:piRNA from 1 species
UAGUGAUCAGACUGCAAAAUAUUGGUA